rnacentral:rRNA from 1 species
AUUGAACGCUGGCGGCGGGCCUAACACAUGCAAGUCGAACGAGUGGCGGACGGGUGAGUAAUGUCUGAGAAACUGCCCGAUGGAGGGGGAUAACUACUGGAAACGGUAGCUAAUCCCGCAUACCAUCGGAUGUGCCAAGAUGGGAUUAGCUAGUCGGUGGGGUAACGGCUCACCAAGGCGAAGAUCCCUAGCUGGCCUGAGAGGAUGACCGGCCACACUGGAACUGAGACACGGUCCAGACUCCUACGGGAGGCAGCAGUGGGGAAUAUUGCACAAUGGGCGCAAGCCUGAUGGAGCAACGCCGCGUGUAUGAAGAAGGUCUUCGGGUUGUAAAGCACUGUCAGCGGGGAGGCGUUACCCGAACAAGAAGCACCGGCUAACUACGUGCCAGCAGCCGCGGUAAUUC